rnacentral:rRNA from 1 species
CAAUAGCGUAUAUUAAAGUUGUUGCAGUUAGAACGCUCGUAGUCGGAUUUCGGGGCGGGCCGACCGGUCUGCCGAUGGGUACGCACUGGUCGGCGCGUCCUUCCUUCCGGAGACCGUGCCUACUCUUAACUGAGCGGGGGCGGGAGACGGAUCGUUUACUUUGAAAAAAUCAGAGUGUUUCAAGCAGGCAGCUCGCUCUUGCAUGGAUUAGCAUGGGAUAAUGAAAUAGGACUUUGGUGCUAUUUUGUUGGUUUCGAACACCGAAGUAAUGAUUAAAAGGGACAGUCAGGGGCACUCGUAUUCCGCAGAGAGAGGUGAAAUUCUCAGACCCGCGGAAGACGAACCACUGCGAAAGCAUUUGCCAGGGAUGUUUNCACUGA